rnacentral:sRNA from 1 species
AACUUAUUAACAGAAACAGAGAUAGGGAUGCAUGCAAGUGGAAGGCAAGAUGAAGAUCAACUAGCUAAGGUCCUUGGUUGCCAUGGUGAUAAUGGUAAGUAUCAAUAGUGUGAUGUAACCUGACCGCUUUCAUCAAUAAUUAAGGUUAUGCAUGGAUAAAUAGAUAAAUUGAAAGCAUUGGAAGGCUGACCAGGGCACAAAUAGGAAACUCAGAAAGUCUGUGUGAAGCCUCUCGAAAGUCGCUGCCUCCCCUGAAAAUGUUCCGUAGAGGUGAGGCUCGACCUAGGGUCUGAGCAUUAUGACAUCAGUGUCUGUCUUGCUAUGGAUCCCUAGGGAUUGCUGGCCAGCCAGUAUAGCUGAAAUGGAGAAUGGUGGGUUCAGUCGGAGAUCCUGUCUCAAAAACUAAGGUGAAGAGGGUAGAGGAAGAGCAGAUCCUUAAGACAUGAAGUGGAAACAUUUGGGCAAACACAGCGAGGCUAAGGCCUUUGAACAUCAACAGCAUCUCAAUCAGUAAUGACAAUGCAGGAAAGGUCUAGCAGAUAAUGGAUCGACUCUUCCCAGGGAUGAUGCCUGACAGACUUGAUAGACACAAGGCAGCCAGCGAACCUGCGUAAUGAUGGCAUCCUCCAGUCACUGGAAGGCAUGAAUGACGCAAACAACCCGACUGUCCUCAGGAACAGAGGAUUCUUCCUUUCUGGAAAUAAGAAGGCAGAGUUUUAUGGACCAAUUUGAAAAGGCUCU